UAUUUUUCAAACCUGCUGCCGCUCAACUGACUAGGUUUGACUUCUUUUUAUACCCUGAACCCAUUAAAAAUGGGUAUAAGGGUAUAUUGAAUUUGUGCAAAAUCCAAAUGUCUUUACCGACGCGGGUGACGGAUAGCCCGGAGGCCUUUGCCAAGGAUGCGUCGAUAAGACUUACCGGACAGCACGGGACUAAAAGGGCACUUUCGCAGCACGUGGACUCUUCAGCAUACUCGGCAUCGGAACGAUUCAGUUGCCGGUCGGCUCUUGGAUCGGCCUUGUUGUUGGCGUGGAGAUAUUGUGCUGUUACGUGAAGAAAAUUGAAAAAAAAACAUAAUAGACAUUACUUAUGCGGCCUUAUACGGAUGGUCCGCAGACCUAUGGAUCUAGGAUUCUAGUCUUUACUGGAGAUUCUACUGGAUGGAGAAUGGAGACUAGAUUCUAUCGGGAGCAGGAUCAGCUUAGAGAUAGGUCUUUUGGAGAUACCUCGGGCUGUUAACACGUCGACCACUCGGACUCUUUGGUCGUUGCCAGGAUAGGUCGUUUGGAUUCGACCUAGACGCCAGUCAUUAACGGGAAGAUUAUCUUCUAUAAUAAUGACUAGAUUGUCCCGUUAACUGUUGUUGCAAAGCCUUCAAGCGCUGCCAGCGGUUGAUGAUGGUCCCGGCGUUUUCCUUGAUUUCUGGCUCUGUGGCGGAAAGUAGAGGACCGCCGACUAAAAAAUGACCGGGAGUCAGAGCUAAGAGAUCAGUAGGAUCUUCCAACAUUGGAGAUAUCGGUCUUGAAUUCAGGCAUGCUUCAACUUUGGAUAGGAGCGUGGAAAGCUCUUCGAAGGUGUAUUUGGAGAUCGAUUUUUGAAACUCUUUAACCUGCCUACCACAGGCCACCCAUAUGCGGUGCACUAGGAGAGUUGAAGUGCUAGGACAGUUUCUGGAGACUGUAAGUGGCCUGGAGUUUAGUCUACAAAAUCGCGCGAGAGGACUUUGGCCGCUCCGACGAAGGUUUUGCCGCUGUCGGAAUGCAUAUGACUUGGGCACCCUCGUCGUGCCACAAAUCUCGCAAAUGCCGCUAGGAAUUUUUCUGUGAUCUUAUUAAACGCAUCAUGAGCAAGUUGCCUCCAUGCAAGGAUAUUAGAUGGGUGAAAGCGGUCAAGAGACGCGAGACGCGGCACAUGUCGCUCUUACACGAUCACAUGCUCGAAUAAUUCCCUUACCAUCUAGAAAGGGGUUCAAAUUAAGGAGUUUGCUGGAAGUGAGCUGUUUUUUCGUGCUCUAGCAAGUGUACUCUGACGAGUAUGCUUGUCUCUGGGUCAGGAGAAUGAGUCUUUCUUGUGCAUAAGAAAUCUCGUUGCUGUGAAUUUCAAUAGUUGACGGGAGUGACAAUCGUUGCAACGCUUGAAGAAUAGAUAGAUGUAUGCUAACACUCGCAGGGCUCGAUCGAACUUGGAGAAGCGCUCGAGGAAAGUAAAUGAGGGAGCCGUGUUUGCGAGGUUUACUUCACUCGUACGUUGCUCUAUUGUCGUAUCUGGGAGGGGAUCUGAAGGAAUGGGCUAUAGGUUCUGAGGUAGUCCAGGCGCAUGGUGGCCUAUGAAGCCAAGCUGGCACAAUUGUGGAAUCUGUCCAAUAGAACCAGUCGCCGCCAGCGGAAGGUAACUGGGGACUGAGUGCAGCUGUUAGCUCGGACAGAAGUGCGGCUCCGCACAGCUCUAGUCGUGGCAAGGAUACCGUCUUGACCUGGGCGACACUCGUUUUCGCUGUUAGGAGAUGUACUGAGAUGCGAUCUUAUAUCUCAGUGCGCACGUAAAUGGCGGCCCCAUAUGCACGCUGCGAAGCGCCACAAAACCCGUGGUAUUGAAUAGUCCCCUGUGGGCGGAAUUCGACCCAUUUAGGGUUGCGAAUCGCACUGAGGCCCGGAUACUCUUGCAGAAAUAAAUUCCACUUAUUGAGAAGACUCUCAGGUAGCGAAUCGUCCCGGCCCAGUUCUUGGAGCCAGAUCUCCCGCAUGAAUAAUUUUGCCUGACUGGACCCAGCCAACCUGCUGGAUCGAACAGUUUGGCAAUCUGUGAAAGGACUUGACGUUUGGAGACGGACUGUUUGAUUGUUAGCUCGGAUGGAGCGAAAAAGAACUCAUCGGUGUCAGCUUUCCAUCUGAUUCCGAGAGUCUUUGCCGAACAGGCUUCUUCGAUCUCUAAGAAGUCGGAGCGAAGCAAGUGGUCCUUGGGAAUCGCUUUUAGCAAGUCCUUCUCAUUGGAUGUCCAUUUUCGCAAGGGGAACCCGGCAGAUUCAAGGGCUUUGCGGAGUUCUGCAAUUGCUUGAUCUGCCGUUGAUUUGGAAUGGGCUCCCGCUAGUACAUAGUCGACAUACAUAUUGUUUGCGAUAAUGUGACUUGCUAAGGGAUAGAGCGAACGAACGUCAUCAGAUAACGGAUGUAGUACCCAGAUUGCCAAAAGGGGGCACAAGUAUCUGCCGAUACAUUUUCGUGAUAUCGGCAUUGAAGACAUAUCGGAAGAAGCGCCAUCUUAGAAUUUGGGCCCUGCAUAUAGCACAUCGUUCAGACCUUUAUCGUUCGAUGACGGGUGGGAGGCGUUAAAUACUACACGGGGCUUGGUCGUGGUGCGGUCAGGCUUGCGAACAGCAUGGUGUGGUAGAUAAAAGUUAUCCGAACAAUUGCUUGGAGGGACUUGUCGCAUGUGACCUAAGUCCAGAUAUUCCUGGAUCACCGCAUCGUACUGCUCCUCAAGGGGUGCAUUUUUUGCCAGCUAGUGCGAUGGACCUUGAUAGUCUAACUGGAUGUGAUCGGAAUUCUUGAAUGGUAGUGUGACUAAGUAUCUGCCGUUUUUAUCUCUUUUAGUGUUCUUUUGGAAAUUGCGCUCACAAAAUAGGUCGGAUUCCUUUUCCAGCUUAACUGGAAUAUCCACCACCUCUCAAAAUUUUGUGAGCAGUUUAUCCAAGCUCGCAUUUGGAUUCAGCGAGACUUGAGUCGUAAAGGAUGCGACCGAUUUGGCACUGGUCUUAGAAACGGGGCCUGUAAGGAUCCAGCCGAAAAUCUUUUCUUGACCACAUAUAUUGGGAUAGGAGCCACCUAACAAUAUUGAUGGGAGGAUAUCGGGGCCGAGAAGCACGUCUAUCUCCUAUAGAAAGAGGGAUCGGCCAAGUGUUAUUUUGGAAGUUAUUCCAAAGCGGUUUGGGGGAUGGUGUAGGAGGGCAAAUUGCCUGCUAGCUUUGAAAGAACAUAAGCCGGCGUUUCAAUAUAAGCCCUGGGCGGAGAGCCAAUAUUAAAAUGGCAAAGAUUUUGAGGUUGAGCCGAAAUAGCUUGAUUCAAACCGGAGAUCUGUGCGUCGACGGGUUGAUAAGGAAGUUUAACCCUUUUGAACAAUCGCUCUGAAAUAAAGGUCGCUUCAGACCCAUAGUCGAUUAA